rnacentral:rRNA from 1 species
UACGGAGGGUGCGAGCGUUGUCCGGAAUCACUGGGCGUAAAGGGCGCGUAGGCGGCGCGGAUAGUCGGCGGUGAAAGCCCGGAGCUCAACUCCGGGUCGGCCGUCGAUACUUCCGGGCUUGAGCACUGCAGAGGCAGAUGGAAUUCCGGGUGUAGCGGUGGAAUGCGUAGAGAUCCGGAAGAACACCGGUGGCGAAGGCGGUCUGCUGGGCAGUUGCCGACGCUGAUGCGCGACAGCGUGGG